CAGCAGCCACGGGAAUACAGAGGGUGCAAGCGUUAAUCGGAUUUACUGGGCGUAAAGGGCGCGUAGGUGGUUAUGUAAGUGAGAUGUGAAAUCCCCGGGCUCAACCUGGGAACUGCAUCUUAUACUGCGUAGCUGGAGUGCAGUAGAGGGUAGUGGAAUUUCCGGUGUAGCGGUGAAAUGCGUAGAUAUCGGAAGGAACACCAGUGGCGAAGGCGGCUACCUGGACUGACACUGACACUGAGGCGCGAGAGCGUGGGGAGCAAACAGGAUUAGAUACCCGUGUAGUCCCUGUCUCUUAUAC
rnacentral:rRNA from 1 species